GCCAGUGUGGCGUAGUGGUUUGAGUGUUGGACUUUAACUCUGGAGGUCUGGGUUCGAUUCCUAGCUCAGCCA